rnacentral:lncRNA from 1 species
AAAAGAAAGCACACGAGCAUACCAGAAACAAACUAAGUACAACUAAACUAAAUCUAACUGGACCCCCAUAAGCCCAGAAGGUACACUCGUGCGCAAGUUUAAAUAAAACCUGAACGGACCCCCAUAAGCCCGACAGGUACACAACAAGGCUAAGUCUACUGAGAAAGAAGAAAACCGGGCUCCCAACCCAAAGUAACUAAGAUAAUCCGUCAAACUCCACCCAGCCAGCAGUACACUCCCA